CAGUGGCCUGAUGGUUAGUGCGUUGGACUCCGGAUCGAGAGGUCCGGGUUCGAUCCUGGCCGGGGUCAUGU
rnacentral:tRNA from 1 species